CACCUUGUUUUGUUUUUAACUUUAUAGGUGUGCCAUCAAGGUAUUCUAGCAUUUCAGUACAGGCUCAAUGAUUAUUUGUUGACUGCUUCCUAACCACUUUAAUGACCAAUCUUAAAAUCUGACACUGUUUGAAAACAGUAUGUACUUUGGAAUCUUUCCCCGCCACCACUUAACCUUAUAAGAAGUGAGUUGCAAGAAAAAUCAGAGAAACCAGAAAACUUUAUUUAUUAUGAAUGACAAGGAAAGGAGAACUAAAAAGUCACUGUACUACUUGGGUUUAACCAAAUAUCCCCUUUAGCGCCAAGUCUUACCUCUAAUAAUAUCUGAGGAGAUUCUAUAUGAGUGAAAACAGAAAAUGCAAUUACAUUUUAUUGCAAGAAAUUUGGAAAACGUAUUUUUAACAAAGUUAGCUAUUCAAAAGUGUUACCUUAGGCUGUCUCUUAAUAGCUCCUUUUCACGAGUGUGAAAUUUAAUGAAGGCAACAGCAUUUAUAAGCAAGACCAAAUGGUAUCUUAAUUACUAGCUGUGUUUUCUUAGGCAACCAGAGAUUAAAUGAAAAGAGAAAUUAGUUUUACAAAUGGCAUCAUACAUCUUUAUGUACACCCCCCUCCAUCAAGUCACAGAUGGUUAUGUGUUUUGAACUUCCUAAUAUUGUAAGCAAUUUUCUUUUCCUUGGGCACACCCCAAUCCAUCACAACUCUUAAAUUAUAUAUUAAAUCACUUACAAGGACUGACGCUGUUAAUCAGUGAUUUAACAUUUACUGGCCACAUGAAAAGGGCUUUUCCCUUACUGGGCUCUAUACAAAUAUAAAGUUUAAAAUUUUUGAAACUACUGGCCCUAGAGGUUGGGAGUGUACUCUUUACAUACAGUUUGGAGGAAUACUUUGACUUGAUCUAAUGACUUAACUAACUCUAAUAAAGAGUUCCUGGUUCAGUUACUACUGCCAAAUCUAACAGCCAAACCCUGGGGUAAGGUCAUGACCAAUGUUACUUCUACCUGUCAUGUAACUCAUGUCUUAAACUAGGGACUCCUGAGGGCUCAUUCGGGACUGCUCUCUUCAGUCCCAAAGAUAAGUGUCUCUAAAACUUAGGUAUUAAAAAUAGCCCAGAAGAGUUCCCUGGUGGCCUAGCAGUUAAAGGACCCAGGAUUUUCACUGCUAUGAUGAGUUCAAUCCCUGGCCUGGGAAGUUUCACAUACUGAUACUGUGGGCACAGCCAAAAAAAAAAAAAAAAAAAAAAAGCCCAGAGACUUUGCUUCUAAUCAUGGCUGAACCACCCCUGCUGGAGUAAUAAUUUCACAUAAAAGAACUAUAAAUUCUGGAAUGUGUGUAUAUAUAUAUACAUACAUACAUACAUACACACACACACACACAUACAUACAUAUACAAAACUCUAAAAGCACUGGGGAGCAAUCAAAAGCAGGAAGAUUCCACUGAGCGAAUGGGUUUUUUUUCCAUUUUUCAGUUGGGCAGGACCAUGCCAAGAGGCUCAGAUGCAUAUAAAAACCCUGCAGUUUUACUCUUUUGCCUCAGAGGAACGAUUUCCCGCCAAAAGCUGCAGCUGAUUAGGAAGAAAAUGAUACAAAGAAGAGUGAAACAGGAGUAUCCCCAAAGUGUUUAUAAACAGUGCUCCAAUUUCUAGCUAACCCCUGAAGCACAAAUGUGAAGAGCAGACUCUAAGUAGCCCUAAAAGGCUAAAAGUACAAAAGAAAAUUUUCAGCUGCUGUCCACUGUAGAGGAGUUAAGUUUCCAGAUCCAGUUCAGCCAACCUAAUGGUCUUACUUUUAAAAAAGAAAGUAAUACUUUUAGGAGGAACAUGACAGAAUUCAAUAAAUUUCAUUAGAUAGGCUAACAGCCAUUUGAAGAUAAUAGGAGAAUAUAUGAAACUUGAAGAGACACAGAAAUUAGACAAUAUUGAGAGGAAAAUAUUAAAAAAAGAGAAAGAGCCUCAGGGACUUGUGGGACAAAAUGAGAUAGUAUAUAUAACAUGUAUAUAAUUGGAUUCCUAGGAGGAGACAAAAUACAAAAGAAAAGAUAUUGGAAGGAAAGAAUGAAUAAUGGCCUCAAACUGACUCAAUAUGCAAGAUGUAAGAGGCUCAGCAAACCCCAAUAAACACAAAGAAAAAUAUGUCUAGGCAAAGCCAUAAUUAAAAUGAUGAAAAUCAAAAUUAAUCAGAAAAAUCUUCAAGGAUCCGGAACAAAACAACCAAUUACACUUAAGGAAUAAUAAAUGAUUCAAAAUGUCUGCUUACUUCUAAUUGGAAACAAGAAAGGCCAGAACAUCUUUAUUUAUUUAUUUUUUUUAGGGCCACAUCUGCAGCAUAUGGAAAUUCCUGGGCUAGAGGUCAAAUUGGAGCUGCAGCUGGUGGCCUACACCACAGCCAUAGCAACAGGGAGUCUGAGGUGCAUCUGCAACCUACACCACAGUUUGUGACAAUGCCAGAUCCUUAACCCACUGAGUGAGGCCAGGGAUCAAACCUGCAUCCUCACAGACACUUAUUAACCUGAUGAGCCACAAAAGAACUCCAUAACAUCUUUAAAGUUCUAAAAGAAUAAAAAUAAAUAAAUCCAGGAUUCUAUAUCCAGUAAAAAAUAUCUUAAGAGUUAAGGUGAAAUAGAGAAUUUUCAAUAUGAGAAAAUUCAUUGUCACCAGAUCUACAUCAUAAGAAAUGCUAAAGGAAGAUCAUUAGGCAGAUGCAAAAGAUACCAGAUGGAAACAGAACUUUACAAAGAAAUAAAUAGGACCAUAAAUGGUAAACACGGGGGUAAACAUAAAGGACUAUUAUUUCCCAUUAAUUUCAUUAAAAUACAUAUGACUAUAUAAGCAAUACAUUUAACUUGGUAUAAUACGGGCUAAUUAUGCUUCUAGAUAAAUUAUGUAUGACAACUAUACCAGAAAGAACAGGGGAAUGGAAUAAAUGACCCUAUAUGGCUGAAAGUUUCUUCUAUUUUACAUGCUGUGGUACAUAAAUUUUAUUUCUAAGUAGACUAUAAAAAAUAAGUUUAUACAUUUUAUUUCCUAGAGUAACCACUUAAAAAAAUACAGCAAGGAACAGUUAAAAAGAGGAAAUAUACAACAGCCAAGACAUGGAAGCAACCAAAACGUCCACUGACAGAGGAACAAGAUGUGGUACAUAUAUACAAUGGAGUAUUACUCAGCCAUAAAAAAGAACAAAAUAAUGCCAUUUGCAGCAUCAUGGAUGGACUUAUAGACUAUCAUACUGAGUAAGUCAAAGACAUAUCAUAUGAUAUCAUUUACAUGUGGAGUCUUAUAAAAAUGACACAAGAGAACUUAUUUAUAAAAUAGAAACAAACUUAGAUUUCAAAACCAAUCUUAUAGUUACCAUAGGUGAAACCACUGAGGGUAGGGAAGAACUGGGAGUGUAGGAAUAACACACACACACUAGUAUGAAAAAUAGUUGAUCAAUGAGAACCUACUAUACAUAGCACAGAAAAAUCUACUCAAUAGUCUGUAAUAACCUAUAUGGGGAAAAAGAAUGGAUAUAUUUACAUGUAUGACUGAUUCACUGUGCUGUACACCUGAAACUAAUACAACAUUUAAGUCAACUAUAUUCCAGUAAAAUUAAAUUAAAAAAAAAAAAAGCCCAGAAGAACAAAAAAUAAAGAUGAUUAAACCAUCACAUCAAUAAUUACAUUAAUUGUUAGUGGAGUAAACAUUCCAAAAACAAAGGUUGUCAAAAUGGAUAAAAAAGCAAGACUGGAGGGGGUUCCUGAUAUGGCUCAGUGGGCUACAAACCUGACUAGUAUCCAUGAGGAUAGAGGUUCAAUUCCUGGCCUCAGUGAGUUAAGGCUUUGGCACUGCCACGACCUGUGCUGUAGUGUGCUGACACGGCUUGGAUCCUGCAUUGCUGUGGCAUAGGCUGGCAACUGUGGCUCCCCAUUCGACCCCUAGCCUGGGAACUUCCAUAUGCAGCAGGUGCAGCCCUAAAAAAAAGCAACACUCAAGGGAAGACAAGAUGGCAGAGUAGAAAGAGGAUGUGGAGCUCACUUCUUCCCACAAAUACAUCAGAAAUACUUCUAUGAAUGGAGGAAUCCUUACAGGACACCAAGUGAACACUGGCAGAGGAACUCAAACACCUGAAAAGACAAAAGGGAUGUCCAUGUAACUGGGUAGGACAAAGGGGAAAAGAAGGAAAAAAAAGAAAAGGGAAGCAGAAGCAGGUUAGGACCUGUGCCCCUGGAAGGAAGCUGAAGAAGAUAGGCUUCCACACUGGGAUAGUUAAGGAGCUUGGAGGCUCGGAGAACACAGCAGCCAGUCUGUAGCAGGCAGGACAGAAUGAGAUCUACACAGAUGAUCUGUGCCACCAGCCUGCAUGCCCCAGCCUGAGAAUGUGACUGCUGAUACAGGCCAGGGCUGGGUUAGAACCUGGGGCUUAGGGAACAGACCUGGGGAGAGAACUGCAGUGGUUGUGCAGAAGCAGCUUGGAGGGACUGCAGGACAGAGGACCACAACUGGGAAUGUUUGAGGAGGAGACCCAGGUAGCCACGGAGGCUAAGUGCCACUGUUAAGCGGCAUGCGAGGGGCAGGGCCACCACUGAAGCCUUUUAUCCCAUGCAGGCCCCUGCCUCUGUAGACCUUGGGAAGGGUUCCCAUCUGAGUGGGCUCACCAGCCUCAACCUCUGUUUUGCCUCCUUCCACGGGAAUAAACCUGUGUGCUUGAUCAUCAUGGGGCCUACCUCCUCCUCUUCCUGUCUGGGUGGG
rnacentral:lncRNA from 1 species